GUCGGGAUAGCUCAGCCGGUAGAGC
rnacentral:tRNA from 6 species